rnacentral:misc_RNA from 1 species
AUAUCUGGAACAGAUAUUGUGAGACCAAGAGGUCAAGGCCAUCCAGCUGGAAAUUCCCCACCUUAUUUUGGACCUUCCAUGAAGCUAGACUUUGAGCUAGAAAUGGCUGCUGUUGUUGGCCCUGGAAAUGAACUGGGUAAAGCUGUGGAUGUUAAUGAAGCAGGAGAUCAUAUAUUUGGACUUGUAUUAAUGAACGACUGGAGUGCUAGAGAUAUUCAAGCUUGGGAAUAUGUGCCUCUUGGGCCUUUUCUUGGAAAGAGCUUUGGUACUACAAUAUCCCCUUGGAUUGUAACACUUGAUGCUUUGCAGCCUUUUGCUUGUGAUGCCCCCAAACAGGAUCCCCAUCCAUUGCCAUAUCUAGCUGAAAAAAUAUCCAAAAACUAUGACAUUUCACUGGAGGUCCAAAUUAAACCAGCAGGACAAGAGGAUCCAUGUGUGGUCACAAGAAGUAACUUCAAGAACUUGUAUUGGACAUUAACUCAACAGCUUGCCCACCAUACAAUAAAUGGUUGUAACCUAAGGCCAGGCGAUCUGCUUGGAACUGGGACAAUCAGUGGACCUGAGCCAGAAUCUCUUGGAUGCUUGUUAGAACUAACAUGGAAUGGACAAAAACCAUUGUCAUUAAAUGAAGCAGCACGAACAUUCCUAGAAGAUGGAGAUGAAGUCAUUUUCAGUGGUUAUUCUAAGGGAGAUGGCUACAAUGUUGGGUUUGGAACAUGCUCUGGAAAAAUUCUUCCAUCACUUCCAUGUUGAAAUUGCUGUUCAUUGUCUGUUGUGUUUUCUGUAAAUCCUUUUCUUCAAUUUUCAAUGUUGUUAAUGAAGCUCAUAUCAAACUGUAUGCUGUUUAAUUGCCAAUAACUGUUUGUUGAAAGCCAAAUUGUAUGCCUACAUGAGGAUGACAACUUUGUAGUUAUGCAUGCUGAAAUGGUUGUGACCAUUAUAUUUCUUAGCACUCGC